rnacentral:rRNA from 1 species
AGUAGUUUGACUCCGUGGCUCGAGGACGAACGCUGGCGGCGUGCUUAACACAUGCAAGUCGAACGGGGCGAUUUUAAGCUUGCUUAGAUGAGCCUAGUGGCAAACGGGUGAGUAACGCGUAGGCAACCUGCCUCUAAGAUGGGGACAACAGUCCGAAAGGACUGCUAAUACCGAAUGUUGUGGGUUUUCCGCAUGGGAGACUCAUUAAAGAUGGCCUCUAUUUAUAAGCUAUCACUUAGAGAUGGGCCUGCGUCUGAUUAGCUAGUUGGUGGGGUAACGGCUCACCAAGGCGACGAUCAGUAGCCGGUCUGAGAGGAUGAACGGCCACAUUGGGACUGAGACACGGCCCAGACUCC